rnacentral:lncRNA from 1 species
GAAAACUAACCUAGCAGGACCCAUUUAACCAUGGGUACCAAAAAUAGAAAUUUAUAAGCUGCAGGUACUUGGUCCAUCUGGCCACACUAAGGAAUGUUGAAGCAAAAGACUUCAGUCAAGAAGAUUCAACCAGCAGAAGACUUAGGACCAUUCAAAAAUAAUUCAGAUAAAACUCCUAUAUGUCAAAGCCUGUCCUUGAAGACCUGCUGAGCUAAUCUAAAUGAAGCUCACAUGGCUGCUGAUCUUUAUAUGAAAGCAGGCCAUUCAACCAAAGAUGAAAAAGGGUCUUAGAUGCUCAAGCAUGCAAAGCUUGUCGUCAAAGAAGUGCACCAGAGGAUCAUCGAUCAUCAAACAUGAGGAACUCAUUACGAGAGCAGAACUCCACAAGUAUAAACUGUAAAAGAAGACUACGUUCGUAGUACUGUCAAAUGAUCGUAGAAUGAUCAGUUCUGGAGAUAUCCAUGUCUACGAUGUAAAUAGAUUUAAUUGUCAGUGGUGAUUCCAGUCAGAAAGAGACAUGCAAGGAUACCUCCUAAUGCACAUGAAGAAAAGGAAAUCACACCUCACUGAAAAGGCAACAUCAACC